CGAUUGAACGCUGGCGGCAUGCUUUACACAUGCAAGUCGAACGGCAGCGCGGGGGCAACCCUGGCGGCGAGUGGCGAACGGGUGAGUAAUGUAUCGGAACGUAUCCUGUAAUGGGGGAUAACCAGUCGAAAGAUUGGGUAAUACCGCAUACGCACGAGAGUGGAAAGUAGGGGAUCGCAAGACCUUACGUUAUAGGAGCGGCCGAUAUCUGAUUAGCUAGUUGGUGGGGUAAAGGCCUACCAAGGCGACGAUCAGUAGCUGGUCUGAGAGGACGACCAGCCACACUGGGACUGAGACACGGCCCAGACUCCUACGGGAGGCAGCAGUGAGGAAUAUUGGUCAAUGGGCGGGAGCCUGAACCAGCCAAGUCGCGUGAAGGAAGAAGGAUCUAUGGUUCGUAAACUUCUUUUGCAGGGGAAUAAAGUGCAGGACGUGUCCUGUUUUGUAUGUACCCUGAGAAUAAGGAUCGGCUAACUCCGUG
rnacentral:rRNA from 1 species